rnacentral:rRNA from 1 species
UACGUAGGGAGCAAGCGUUGUCCGGAAUCAUUGGGCGUAAAGUGUGCGCAGGCGGCCAUGCAAGUCGAGUGUGAAAGCCCCGGGCUUAACUUGGGAAUUGCGCUCGAAACUACGUGGCUGGAGUGUGGCAGAGGAAGGUGGAAUUCCACGUGUAGCGGUGAAAUGCGUAGAGAUGUGGAGGAACACCAAUGGCGAAGGCAGCCUUCUGGGCCAACACUGACGCUCAUGCACGAAAGCGUGGGGAGCAAACAGG